AGUGAACGCUGGCGGUAGGCCUAACACAUGCAAGUCGAACGGCAGCACAGUAAGAGCUUGCUCUUACGGGUGGCGAGUGGCGGACGGGUGAUGAAUACAUCGGAAUCUACUUUUUCGUGGGGGAUAACGUAGGGAAACUUACGCUAAUACCGCAUACGACCUACGGGUGAAAGCAGGGGAUCUUCGGACCUUGCGCGAUUGAAUGAGCCGAUGUCUGAUUAGCUAGUUGGCGGGGUAAAGGCACACCAAGGCGACGAUCCGUAGCUGGUCUGAGAGGAUGAUCAGCAACACUGGAACUGAGACACGGUCCAGACUCCUAAGGGAGGCAGCAGUGGGGAAUAUUGGACAAUGGGCGAAAGCCUGAUCCAGCCAUGCCGCGUGUGUGAAGAAGGCCUUCGGAUUGUAAAGCACUUUUGUUGGGAAAGAAAAGCAGCAAGUUAAUACCCCGCUGUUCUGACGGUACCAAAAGAAUAAGCACCGGCUAACUUCGUG
rnacentral:rRNA from 1 species